AUUCUGAAAUGGAAUAAAGACAAGGCAAAAUGUUAUCUUUGAGCUAUGACACUGGGCUUCCAGUGGUCACAGGGAGUGGACACACAUCCAAUGCCAAACAGGCUGAUAACAGACAGGAAGCGUCAUUAUAGUCAGAAAUGGCCUUCAUUGGAGGAUUCUUGUAAAAAAGAUCUUCCAAAAAGGCUUUGGAGACAGGGUGCUGCCAGAGCUGCUUCUGGGCAGGGCUGUGCAACCUUGGAAGAGUGUGGCAACCUUCCUGGAAGCAGACCCGGGAUGCUAAGCCUGAGUGUCUCUUCUGUCACCAACUCCCUUUCCGUGAUACAUUGAGCCAGCCACACUCUUGCACUACAAUCUACUGUAAUAGUCACAGACCCAAAGCAACGGAAAAAAGUCACCAUGGACUACAGCUUCUGAAAUCAUGGGGCAGAUAAACUUUAUCUUGGUCUCCUAGGAAUGAAAGAACUCCUAGUACUGGCUGGAGCAUGGCUUUAUAACUGCAAAAAUGAACAACAACAGUCUAGAAGACUUGGAAAUAGAACACUUCAGGACACUUUGGACAACAGGGAGUUCUUUUCGGACUUCCUACUGCAAACCCCUUUAAAUGACUUCUGCUACAGGAAAGAGGGAAUCAAGGACCAAGUGUCCCCUUAUUUAAAAAUAUGCAUUCACAGAGACCGUUCUUUAAUUUCCUCGGUUUCAA
rnacentral:lncRNA from 1 species